rnacentral:rRNA from 1 species
UACGUAGGGGGCAAGCGUUGUCCGGAAUUAUUGGGCGUAAAGAGCGUGUAGGCGGCCAGAUAAGUCCGCUGUGAAAUCUCGAGGCUCAACUUCGAGCUGUCGGUGGAAACUGUCUGGCUAGAGUCCGGAAGAGGAGAAUGGAAUUCCUGGUGUAGCGGUGAAAUGCGCAGAUAUCAGGAAGAACACCUAUGGCGAAGGCAGCUCUCUGGGACGGUACUGACGCUGAGACGCGAAAGCGUGGGGAGCGAACAGG